CUACGGGCUGCUCCAGUGGGGAAUAUUGCACAAUGGAGGAAACUCUGAUGCAGCAACGCCGCGUGGAGGAUGACACUUUUCGGAGCGUAAACUCCUUUUAUAUAGGAAGAUAAUGACGGUACUAUAUGAAUAAGCACCGGCUAACUCCGUGCCAGCAGCCGCGGUAAUACGGAGGGUGCAAGCGUUACUCGGAAUCACUGGGCGUAAAGAGCGUGUAGGCGGAUAGAUAAGUCAGGAGUGAAAUCCUAUGGCUCAACCAUAGAACUGCUCUUGAAACUGUCUAUCUAGAAUAUGGGAGAGGUAGAUGGAAUUUCUGGUGUAGGGGUAAAAUCCGUAGAGAUCAGAAGGAAUACCGAUUGCGAAGGCGAUCUACUGGAACAUUAUUGACGCUGAGACGCGAAAGCGUGGGGAGCAAACAGGAUUAGAUACCCGGGUAGUC
rnacentral:rRNA from 1 species